AGCGAACGCUGGCGGCAGGCUUAACACAUGCAAGUCGAACGGAUCCUUCGGGAUUAGUGGCGGACGGGUGAGUAACACGUGGGAACGUGCCUUUUGGUUCGGAACAACACAGGGAAACUUGUGCUAAUACCGGAUGUGCCCUUCGGGGAAGGAUUUAUCGCCAUUAGAGCGGCCCGCGUCUGAUUAGCUUGUUGGUGGAGGUAAAGGACUCACCAAGGCUACGAUCAGUAGCUGGUCUGAGAGGAUGAUCAGCCACACUGGGACUGAGACACGGCCCAGACUCCUACGGGAGGCAGCAGUGGGGAAGUCUUGCGCAAUGGGGGAAACCCGUGACGCAGCCAUGCCGCGUGAAUGAUGAAGGUCUUAGGAUUGUAAAAUUCUUUCAGCGGGGACGAAUAAUGACGGUACCCGCAGAAGAAGCUCCGGCUAACUUCGUGCCAGCCGCCGCCGUAAC
rnacentral:rRNA from 1 species